GCUUUCAGCAGGAGCCAAUCCUCGGUGGCGGGUCGCGGCCCUGUCUGUAUCGGGCGGAAGGUCCUCGUGAGGCUCGUUAGCAGACAUGUUGGUCCAGGACAGCAGGCUUGCCCUGCCACUCCCAAAACUAUCGGGCGCCCUGAGUCUGAAUUUACUGCUAAUGACUGCUCAUAAAGAUAAAAAUAAAGUCAACAAAGGCAUAGAGUAAAACAGGGAGGAACCAGCUUUGAUGUUGCCGGUUACUCCCAUAAAAAUACGGACCUCCAGUUAAAUUUGAAUUUCAGCUAAACAACCAAUAAAUUUUCAGUUAUGGUGCUUGGCACGUGGCCAGCAGUGUUUUCCGUGCUGAUGAGACUGCAGGAGGAUGAAACAGACAAAAAUCUCUGCUUGCAUCCUAGCAGGGAAAGACAGACACGAGCAAGAUGUCCACGUCUUACCUCAGAACACCUCAGGACCUUGCACUUGCCAGGCAGGCACAGUGCCACUGAGCCACAUCCCCGGCC
ensembl:lncRNA